UGGUAUAUGGUGUAUAUCCUCUGGUGUAC
rnacentral:piRNA from 1 species